rnacentral:rRNA from 1 species
CCUACGGGUGGCAGCAGUAGGGAAUCUUUCACAAUGGGCGAAAGCCUGAUGGAGCAACGCCGCGUGCAGGAUGAAGGCCUUCGGGUUGUAAACUGCUUUUAUAAGCGAGAAAUAUGAUGGUAACUUAUGAAUAAGGAUCGGCUAACUACGUGCCAGCAGCCGCGGUCAUACGUAGGAUCCGAGCAUUAUCCGGAGUGACUGGGUGUAAAGGGAGCGUAGACGGCCAUGCAAGCCAGGGGUGAAAGCCCGGGGCCCAACCCCGGGACUGCCCUUGGAACUGCAUGGCUGGAGUGCGGGAGGGGCAGGCGGAAUUCCUGGUGUAGCGGUGAAAUGCGUAGAUAUCAGGAGGAACACCGGCGGCGAAGGCGGCCUGCUGGACUGCGACUGACGUUGAGGCUCGAAAGCGUGGGGAGCGAACAGGAUUAGAUACCCUAGUAGUC